rnacentral:rRNA from 1 species
CCUACGGGAGGCAGCAGUAAGGAAUAUUGGUCAAUGGAGGCAACUCUGAACCAGCCAUGCCGCGUGCAGGAUGACGGCCCUAUGGGUUGUAAACUGCUUUUAUACAAGAGAAAACCCUGGUACGUGUACCAGGUUGAUAGUAUUGUAAGAAUAAGCAUCGGCUAACUUCGUGCCAGCAGCCGCGGUAAGACGAAGGAUGCAAGCGUUAUCCGGAUUCAUUGGGUUUAAAGGGUGCGUAGGCGGACUGAUAAGUCAGUGGUGAAAUCUCUUUGCUUAACAAAGAAACUGCCAUUGAUACUGUCGGUCUAGAGUAUAGAUGACGUUGGCGGAAUAUGACAUGUAGUGGUGAAAUACUUAGAUAUGUCAUAGAACACCGAUUGCGAAGGCAGCUAACGAAACUAUAACUGACGCUGAGGCACGAAAGUGCGGGGAUCAAACAGGAUUAGAUACCCUGGUAGUCCGCACCGUAAACGAUGAUUACUCGUUGUUGGCGAUAUGACAGUCAGCGACCAAGCGAAAGCGAUAGUAAUCCACCUGGGGAGUACGCCGGCAACGGUUGAAACGUCAAAGGAAUUGACGGCGNGAGAGNGCGAGGACGACGACGAGGGAGGAGG